AGCGAACGCUGGCGGCAGGCUUAACACAUGCAAGUCGAGCGGGCAUCUUCGGAUGUCAGCGGCAGACGGGUGAGUAACACGUGGGAACGUACCCUUCGGUUCGGAACAACUCUGGGAAACUGGAGCUAAUACCGGAUACGCCCUUAUGGGGAAAGGUUUACUGCCGAAGGAUCGGCCCGCGUCUGAUUAGCUAGUUGGUGGGGUAACGGCCUACCAAGGCGACGGUCAGUAGCUGGUCUGAGAGGAUGAUCAGCCACACUGGGACUGAGACACGGCCCAGACUCCUACGGGAGGCAGCAGUGGGGAAUAUUGGACAAUGGGCGCAAGCCUGAUCCAGCCAUGCCGCGUGAGUGAUGAAGGCCUUAGGGUUGUAAAGCUCUUUUGUCCGGGACGAUAAUGACGGUACCGGAAGAAUAAGCCCCGGCUAACUUCGUG
rnacentral:rRNA from 1 species